rnacentral:rRNA from 1 species
UGCGAACUCCUACGGGAGGCAGCAGUGGGGAAUUUUGGACAAUGGGGGCAACCCUGAUCCAGCAAUGCCGCGUGAGUGAAGAAGGCCUUCGGGUUGUAAAGCUCUUUUGUCAGGGAAGAAACGGUAGUAGCUAAUAUCUAUUACUAAUGACGGUACCUGAAGAAUAAGCACCGGCUAACUACGUGCCGGCAGCCGCGGUAAUACGUAGGGUGCAAGCGUUAAUCGGGAUUACUGGGCGUAAAGCGUGCGCAGGCGGUUGUGUAAGUCAGAUGUGAAAUCCCCGGGCUCAACCUGGGAAUUGCAUUUGAGACUGCACGGCUAGAGUGUGUCAGAGGGGGGUAGAAUUCCACGUGUAGCAGUGAAGUGCGUAGAUAUGUGGAGGAUUACCGAUGGCGAAGGCAGCCCCCUGGGAUAACACUGACGCUCAUGCACAAAAGCGUGGGGAGCAAACAGGAUUAGAUACCCUAGUAGUCCAGAUG